rnacentral:ncRNA from 1 species
AUAGUUAGUAGGAUUAGACGCGAAACCUUGUGAUCUACCCAUGGGCAGGUUGAAGCUUUGGUAACACAAAGUGGAGGACCGAACCGGUUGACGUUGAAAAGUCUUCGGAUGACCUGUGGGUAGGGGUGAAAGGCCAAUCAAACUGGGAGAUAGCUCGUACUCCCCGAAAUGCAUUUAGGUGCAGCGUCGAUGUUAAGUUUAUUAGAGGUAGAGCUACUGAUUGGAUGCGGGGGAGUCAAAUCCUACCAAUUCCUGACAAACUCCGAAUGCUAAUAAAUGUUCGUCGGCAGUGAGGGCAUGGGUGCUAAGGUCCAUGUCCGAGAGGGAAAGAACCCAGACCAACAGCUAAGGUCCCUAAAUAUAUGCUAAGUUGAAACAACGCGGUUGGACUGCAUUGACAGCUAGGAUGUUGGCUUGGAAGCAGCCAUUCAUUUAAAGAGUGCGUAACAGCUCACUAGUCGAGCGGUCCGGCAUGGAUAAUAAUCGGGCAUAAGCAUAUUACCGAAGCUAUGGAUUUAUAAUUAAUUAUAUCUGGUAGGGGAGCAUUCUAUUUGCGCCGAAGCAGUAUCGCGAGGUAUUGUGGAGCGGAUAGAAAAGAAAAUGUAGGCAUAAGUAACGAUAAAGGGGGCGAGAAACCCCCUCACCGAAAGACUAAGGUUUCCUCAGCCAUGCUAAUCAGCUGAGGGUUAGUCGGGACCUAACGCGAACCCGAAAGGGGUAGUGGAUGGACAAUGGGUUAAUAUUCCCAUACUUGCUCACACUAAAAAGGGGACGGAGUGCCGUACUUGCUGGAGACUGACGGAAUAGUCAAGGCCUAGCCUUCGGGCGAAGCUGCUGCAGGGAAAGUGCUUCCAAGAAAAGCCGAAGUGAAGCAACCCGUACCAAAACCGACACAGGUAGUCGAGGAGAGAAUCCUAAGGUGCUCGAGUGAGUCGUGGCUAAGGAACUAGGCAAAAUAGUCUCGUAACUUCGGAAGAAGAGACGCCAACAGCAAUGUUGGCCGCAGUGAAGAGGCCCAGGCGACUGUUUAUCAAAAACACAGGACUCUGCUAAAUCGAAAGAUGCUGUAUAGGGUCUGACACCUGCCCGGUGCUGGAAGGUUAAGGAAGGUGCUUAGAGGUAACUCGAAGGCAUUGACUGAAGCCCCAGUAAACGGCGGCCGUAACUAUAACGGUCCUAAGGUAGCGAAAUUCCUUGUCGGGUAAGUUCCGACCUGCACGAAUGGUGUAACGAUCUGGGCACUGUCUCAGCCACGAGCUCGGUGAAAUUGUAGUAUCGGUGAAGAUGCCGAUUACCCGCAAUGGGACGAAAAGACCCUGUGAACCUUUACUAUAACUUCGUAUUGACUUUGAGUAAGUAAUGUGUAGGAUAGGUGGGAGGCUUUGAAGCAGGCACGCUAGUGUUUGUGGAGCCAACGUUGAAAUACCACCCUUUACUUACUUGGAGCCUAACUUCUUAAAGAAGGACAUUGCGUGGUGGGUAGUUUGACUGGGGUGGUCGCCUCCAAAAGAGUAACGGAGGCUUUCAAAGGUACCCUCAGCACGCUUGGUAACCGUGCGUAGAGUGUAAUGGCAUAAGGGUGCUUGACUGUGAGACCAACAAGUCGAUCAGGUGCGAAAGCAGGACAUAGUGAUCCGGUGGUUCCGUAUGGAAGGGCCAUCGCUCAUAGGAUAAAAGGUACUCCGGGGAUAACAGGCUAGUCUCCCCCAAGAGCUCACAUCGACGGGGAGGUUCGGCACCUCGAUGUCGGCUCGUCACAUCCUGGGGCUGGAGAAGGUCCCAAGGGUUGGGCUGUUCGCCCAUUAAAGUGGCACGCGAGCUGGGUUCAGAACGUCGUGAGACAGUUCGGUCUCUAUCUAUUGCGGGCGUUAGAUGUUUGAGAGGACUUGAUUCUAGUACGAGAGGACCGAAUUGAACAAACCUCUGGUGUAUCAGUUGUACCGCCAGGUGCACCGCUGAGUAGCUAUGUUUGGAAGAGAUAAGCACUGAAAGCAUAUAAGUGCGAAACUCGCCUCAAGAUGAGACAUCUUUUAAGGGUCGUUGGAGAUGACGACGUUGAUAGGCUAUAGGUGUAAAGACAGUAAUGUCAUAGCCAAGUAGUACUAAUUACCCGUAGAUUUAUAGCC